rnacentral:rRNA from 1 species
GGCGCACGGGUGAGUAACGCGUAGGCAACCUACCCCCGGGUCUGGGAUAACAGUGCGAAAGCGCUGCUAAUACCGGAUACGCCCUCGAGGCGGGAGCUUCGAGGUGAAAGUCGGCCUCUCGAAGAAGCCGGUGUUCGGGGAUGGGCCUGCGUCCUAUCAGCUAGUUGGUAGGGUAACGGCCUACCAAGGCGACGACGGGUAGCUGGUCUGAGAGGAUGAUCAGCCACACUGGCACUGGAACACGGGUCAGACUCCUACGGGAGGCAGCAGUGAGGAAUUUUGCGCAAUGGGAGCAAUCCUGACGCAGCAACGCCGCGUGGGUGAAGAAGGCCUUCGGGUCGUAAAGCCCUGUCAGGUGGGAAGAAUGGCUUGUAGAUGAAAAAGCUAUGAGUAUGACGGUACCACCAGAGGAAGCACCGGCUAACUCCGUGCCAGCAGCCGCGGUAAUACGGAGGGUGCAAGCGUUAUUCGGAAUUACUGGGCGUAAAGCGCGUGCAGGCGGGGAAGCAAGUCUGAUGUGAAAGCCCUGGGCUUAACCUGGGAAGUGCAUUGGAAACUGUUUUUCUUGAGUACUGGAGAGGAAGGGAGAUUUCCCGGUGUAGAGGUGAAAUUCGUAGAGAUCGGGAGGAACACCGGUGGCGAAGGCGCCAUUCUGGACGGUUACUGACGCUGAGACGCGAGAGCGUGGGGAGCGAACGGGAUUAGAUACCCUGGUAGUCCACGC